rnacentral:rRNA from 1 species
UACGGAGGGUGCGAGCGUUAAUCGGAAUUACUGGGCGUAAAGCGCGCGUAGGUGGCUGGGUAAGUCGGAUGUGAAAGCCCCGGGCUUAACCUGGGAACUGCAUUCGAUACUGCCCGACUAGAGUAUGGUAGAGGAAAGCGGAAUUCCCGGUGUAGCGGUGAAAUGCGUAGAUAUCGGGAGGAACAUCAGUGGCGAAGGCGGCUUUCUGGACCAAUACUGACGCUGAGGCGCGAAAGCGUGGGUAGCAAACAGGAUUAGAACU